rnacentral:rRNA from 1 species
UACGUAGGCAGCGAGCGUUGUUCGGAGUUACUGGGCGUAAAGGGUGUGUAGGCGGUUUUCUAAGUUUGGUGUGAAAUCUCCCGGCUCAACCGGGAGGGUGCGCCGAAAACUGGAAGGCUAGAGUGCGGGAUGGGAGAGUAGAAUUCCUGGUGUAGCGGUGAAAUGCGUAGAUAUCAGGAGGAAUACCGGUGGUGUAGACGGCUCUCUGGACCGCGACUGACGCUGAGACACGAAAGCGUGGGUAGCAAACAGG